UUUCUCUCUUUCUUUCUCUCUCUCUUUCUUUCUCUCUUUUUUUCCUCCUCUUUAUGGAAUGUAGGAUCAUGACCUCAUGACCUUUCUUUUUCUUUACUUUCUUCCUCUUCAAAAUAUUUUUCUUUGUGUGAUGAGCCCCAGAAAGUGCUUACAUAUUCAGUGUGGAAUUCUUUCUUUUUUCAUGUUGCUCCCUCCUUGGUUGUGUUAACCCUCUAUAGCAAAUUUCCAUUUCUAGAAGUUAGAAGUCAGAAAAGGAAUUUCUGCACACUCUGUACCUUGUCUUCAGCUAAAAUAGAUAUAAGAAGUUUAUGUUAUCUUUAUAUUUACAUCUUCCUAAACCAAGAUACCUUAUAAAAUACAUAUUUAGGUAUGGAAGGACUUCUUAAUGUUACAAAAGAUUUCAUUACAGAUGCUGUGCACAACUAAUGAGUGCAGGUUGUAUGCUGAUGGCUUCAUAACUCUGCAAAGUGCAACCCUCUCCAAAAAAGUUUUUAACUUCCCAGGUGUGGGGUUAGUUAUCAUCUAAUCAUGGCUGUCAGUAGGACAGUAAGACACACAACUUGAUCCAGUUUCUGUAAUUACUGUAUUUUAAACCUUGCUCAAAGUCUUUAUCCCUCUUCUAUUACUAUUUGUAUAAUGAUGUGCUAGAAGCACUUUGUCCUACUCAUUUUUGGGGGAAGAGGAGGGACAGGAGAGGAGGUACUUAAGUUUUUAGAUAAACUACCUGUAACUUAAUUUAAUCCGGAGUGAAUCGUUAAUCAGAAGAGUGUUGUAAAAUCAUUAUGCAAGGACAAUUACUAUUUGUAGUCCAUAGGUAAAGAGACAGUAGCUUAAGCUGCAUAGACUGACUCGAAAUGAUAACAAGCAUAGAAAGUGCAGAACAGCUUGAAGCAGAGAAAAGGAGUCAUGCUUCUAGGAACUUUCCUUUGGUUUUAAUUCCAGUAGCAGAAACUGAGUGGGGUAAGGAUGGGGCUGGGUUUGUAACCUUGGGUAGCAGGGCCUGGUGCUACUGCACUUUGCAAUUAAUGAGCCUAAAGGAGAGUACUCUGGCUUAGGGAGGACUGUCAGGGCCGGGCUUAGAUGAGCUUCAGGAAUGAGGGCCCUGCCAGGGAAAUACUUUCAGAGGAAUAGGGGAUUGCAGGUAGCCAGGUUUUCCUCACCUCACUCUUGCCUGUGGCUAUCUCAAUAUAUCAAAGUACAAACAUGAGCUAUUACAGCUCCGUUUAACACCAUCUGUGCCCAGGUGGAUGGAAUGUGCUGAAAGCCCGUCUGAUGGCUGUUUAGCUACCUGAAAGACUGAAGUUAAGGUCUAUUUUUUCUCUACUGCCUAAAAUGUUUCUGCUCUUGUUUUGCUGCAAGCUAGUACUGGCAUGGUCGGUGAAUAGUAUUUCCCUCCUUUUAGCUGAAUCACUUGUUCUAGACCAUUAUGGGAGGCAAAAAUACUGCUUUUGAGAAACGACUGGGCUGCUGCAUUUUAUUAACUGAGUGAUUUCAAAAAGCCUACUAAUUUGCUUACAUUUAAAAAGAAAAUGGGAAAAUAUAUCUGUCCUACAUCUGGGAUUCUAAUCAGAAGAAAAAGGAGAUGAGCAAGGAGAGAAUGAGCCCUCUGCCUUAGCAGCAAACAAACUGCCCUGAAUAAAUGGAGAAAAUGAAACCAAAGGGGAAAAUGUCUGCACCAAGAAGGUGCUGCAUUUCACUGCUCAGUUAUAGCAGCCCUUUCCUUUGCCACAAAGAUGCAUUCUGUGAAGAUGUUUCUUCCAAAUGUUUACAGCAUUGUUGGGAAUGUUUUGAUCUCACUUGAGCACUCUCUUGAAUGCUGUGUAGGAAGGUUGCUGGCCAUAGAGCCUUGAGUUCUGUUCCCAGUUACCAUACAACUGGAAUGCUGGUUUUGAGUUGACAGCAGGGUUCUAUUUGUCACGUAUGGCGCAGCAUUGGCUUCUUGGGAUGGAAACACAUUGUACUGACUUGGAUGCUUCCCGUACAUUGUAAGUACCAGUUUGUUAUAUAAAUUCUGUACUUUUCCUUGGUACAAAGGUCUAGCAAAGUCCUUUUCUUUCAAGAAAGAAACUCAUGAUCUUUAACUGCUCUUGUAAUUUCACGUCUAGUUUAGGUUUUGUUGUUGUUUUCACAUAUUGGAUAAGGGCACACACCCCACCUUCAUGGAACUGCGCUUUAUAAUGUGUCAGGCACUUGGGCAUGUUCCUGAGGGUGCAUAAAUCCCACAGGUCUUGUCUGUUGAAGAAAAUGUCACCACUUUGUCAGAGUUACAUUGUUACAAACUUUCACAGGUUGAAAACUUCCAGUUUGAAAUGUCUAGUGAUUUAUUCUAGUCCAGUUUAUGUUGCUGGAGAAUAGUAUUAAGUUGAAUUUAAACUAUAAGAAAGGGCAGGUAUAUACUUACUAAAACUAUAUAAAGCCAUUUAAAGUGUUGCAGCACACUAUUUCUUAAAAUAUUUGACUUAAAGAAGCUUUUCUACAUUAACAACUUCAAAGAAGCUUGUGCCUAUUUUAUGAAGAGGUGAGGAUUAAUUUUAUCCUAGUGAAGUAAGAUUCCUUCUAUAAUAAGUCUUUUCCCAGCAGGUAUGAGAGCAGGAUCUGAUUUAGCCACUCCUAAUGAUCAUCAAUGCUUCUGUCAGUAAGCAUAAUUUAGUCAAAGAAAAUUUGAGCAGUGCACAGACUUGCUGUACAUCAUCAUGUACAGUCUCCUGUUUUGCUGCAGAGUAAGAGAAAUACUCCUGCUUGGUUUAAUCUGACAUUGAGAGGCUUACAGGUGCUAAACAAUGUCGUGUUAAACAAUGCCACCUACAUGUCACCCCAGGUUGUGCCCAGUAGAGCUUCAUUGCACCUCUGGGUAUGAUACAUUGCACCCUGCAAAGAUUAAGAAUGGAAAUCAUCACAGCUUGUACAAGCUGAAAUUAAAUGAACCAGAGAAAAAUAUAAUAUUAAUAAUUGAAUAUUAUUAAAGUAUUCUUUCAUAACAAGCAAAUUGUAACAGCUCUCUCCCUGAAUGGAAACUCUUUUUUAUACUGCAAUCUGUGUUAAGGGUUUAUCCAAAAAUAACACAGGAAAUACUGUAUAUAGUUACUGGAGCAAGGCAUUUCUGGCAGAUUGUCAUGGCAUGCUCAAAGUCUGUGACCUGGCUUACAUUUGUCUUUCAUUUAAAGUGUGGAAGAGAUUUUGAUAAGUGCUGACAGCAGUUCAAACCCCUACCUACUGAACGGAGGGUUGAAGAGUCACAAGCUAUAGUUAAAUAAACGGGCUUUAUCAAUCUGCAAAUGAAAUGCCUUCUGUUAGUCAUGGUUUGCUUAUACAAGACAAUGGAUAAUAAAUUAUUAACUGAAUGAGGUAAGUAAAUCCAUUUUGUACUGUUUCCUGCUGUGUGUAACAAAUAAUCCCAAACCUGUGAGUUUUCUAAUUUCUCAGGAACAAAAUGCCAUCUAGUGGUAACUGCUGGAUAUUUUGAGCAAAUACUUUUUUUAUAUUGACAUCAAGUUUUCAUAUUUUUUUUCCUGGUAUUCUACAUUUUACAGCACAUUAAGGUCUUGAGAGAAGAUAAAGAGCUGGGGGGAAGGUACAGUCCCCCCAAGCUGGACCAGCGGUGGCAGGGGCGACACGCUUCCCAGCUGCUUGGGAGCUCUCUUUCUGCCUCUGCAGCUGGCCUCAGGCAGGUCAGGCAGGUUUCCCCUGCCAAGCAUUGGGUAAAAUUUCAUACCUAGUUGGUAGGCCACACCUUACUGUUACUUGAUACUAAAAUACAAUCUGUCCAUUGUGGUAUGAAAAGAGCUGAAAGCCACCUCUGCUUCACUGACUGCUCAUCUGUCUCUCCUGGUCGGAGGCUUUUCCCUCUAGGUCGUCAUUCUCCAAGGAGCUAAGGGGAAGCCAUCUCUUCUGCUCUUCCAGUGAACUACCAGGGAAUGCUAUAAGCUUCUCCAUGGCGUAGUUUGCCUACUUGACUCCUCAGAGUAGAAUAUAAACUAAAAAAUAUUAACACUAAAAUUUGGCUUCUAGAACAGACUCCUGAAAAAGUAACUGCCAUAAACUGGCUUUUAGAUUUGAAUAACAGAGUUUAUUUGUACAUCAAGAAUAAAUAAUAAAAAUAAAACCUUAUGGUUCUAUUUAAACAUAUUCAUUAAUGUAAACAGGGCCUAGGAGUCUGCAUGUGAUAUGAGCGCACUGAUGGAGAUAAUCUGGCUUUACACAUGGAGCCGACUGCGGAGAGCUCUGCAGCAUUUCAUCUUUCCAUGGGUUUGUGCUUCAUUGUGAUAGAGGUUGUGGUGUUGUUUAUGGGUCUGCUUUUUCCAUGCACUGUUUGAAUUCCUCCAUCUGCUGGUCCAUGUUGCCCUAUUCCAUUGCAAGGUGCUAGCAGCAGCAGUUGCCAGGGCUGUAAUCUGACCGCGGGUCUCUGGGAUGUGUUCUGCAGGCUGGUGCAGAAAUCUAAUCUGUCCCACUGACGUCACUGUAGAAGUCUAUGAAGAUGGCAUGGCAUCGGUUUGCUGGGCUGGGAAGGAGUUUGUGGCUAGCUAAAGAAAUCCUUAACCUUUACUCUUGUUUUAUAUGCUAUUUAAAGUAAAUUGCAGCAGACUAAAGAGUCUGAUUAACGAGGGCACUACCAGCACAGGUCUUUAAGAGGGUCAUCUGAGAGUUUGGGCAGCUCUGCAGUCGCUGCCGUUGCUGUGAUGUAGCACUCAUGCACUCGUCUGUCUCUCUGGAGUGCUGCGGGUUAUUUUCCUAGACACUGGCAUUGGCCAACAGCCAGUGCAGCUGCAGAGAAACAGGAGGGAGCAGAAACAGGACUAGAGCAGCGCUGCUUUAGGUGGGAGUAAAUUGUCAUGGAAGCAUGUUUAGGUAGGCAGAACAAGAAGAGUUUGGGGAGCAUUAGCAAAUGCAGACUGAAAAGCACCAAGAAAUCUGUCUUGCUUGUGCUUGCUAAAAAUAGAUGAGGAAAUCCCUGGAUCUGGGACAAUUUCUUAAAGCUAGAAUAGUGGCUUUCUCUGAGUAACAACUGCAGUCUUGCAUUGCAGCUGUUGCAGCUGCAUCUGCCCUUCACUCUCAAGUUUACAGAGCAGCAGGAUGCUUUAAGGAGGGUAUGAUUCUCCACAGUCAGAAGAAAGGCAUUCUGUUGUGCACACAGUAAAGAAAUUUUAAGAGCAAGUGGCCCUGCGAUGAAACCUUGAAACAAAGGAGUAAGAAUAGGGAUAACAACUGAUCAGUAAUGAUCCACCUGAACUUUGCAUCUUUUUUUGAAGCUGUUUAUCUCCAUUCAAAAACAAGUGAAAUAGAAUAUAGUGCCUACACAAUGUUUUUCAUUCCUUCAAAGAACUGGGCAGAAUGCAGAUAAUGUCACUUCCAGUGUUUUUAUGGGGAUUUUUUGUCUUUAUAUAGCUAAUGGCUAUAUGCUAUAAGGAGGAAAUUAUUUUAAUGCUAUAUAACAUUAUAGUCUGGAUUAUUGCUUUUGAUUUAAACACUCAGACAAUAAACUAAUUGGAUUUUUUUUGGCCCCUGUUCUCCUAAAACAGUUUAUGACACAUUUGUCAUGAAAAUGCAUCCACGUGGGAGCAGAAAGGAGAGCAGUUUUCCCGUGGGGGACCAAAGAAGCUGUUUUCUGACAACAAGCAGCAAAGUGGCCGUUGAAAUGUUGCUGCAAUGCCCACAGAAAUGGUGAGGGUCUGGGUCCCUCUGCUCCUGCAGUAUUGCACAGGGUUUGCCAAAGAGCUUUGCUCGGUUUUGUCUUUUCAAAAUGUAUUUUCUUGACUUACUGGACUUUAAGAAAAAAAACAAAAAACAAAACCAAACUUCUUUGGAAAGUACUCCCUUAUCAGUGACUCGUUGGUGCAGAUAAACUCUGAAUUCUGAAGUCAUUGUGUUGGCAUUGAAAGCAUUGGUAUCACAUCUCUGUGUAGAAAACCACUAGAAACUGUGUUGGAAUAAACCAGGAAUUAGUUUCCUACAUAUCUGCUUGAUUGAGGAUUGCAUGACUUUACAAAUGAAUACAUGAGGUUGAAUUCCAGAUCUGAGCUUGGUGUGGUGAUGUGCAAGUCAGGUUUCAACAUCAGUUAUCUCUGAUUUUGUUUAAAAUAAAACUUCCGCUUGCACAGCUGAAAAGCUGCCAAGUCUUAGUCUAAUUUAGUUCUGAUUUGCUUAGGGGUUUUCCACAUGUCUUGGUUAACAAUAAGCAAAAUGUGCACCACCAUGGGAUGUAAUUAUUUUAUUAUUAAAGAAACGGGAAAUAA